GAACCCGUGGCGCAGUGGUAGCGCGUAUGAUUCCAGCCAGCCGUGCUUACGUAAGCAGGAUUUGGGCAUCCAUAAGGUCAUCCGUUCAAUCCGGGUCGGGUUCA